AACGCACAUUGCGCCCUUUGGUAUUCCGAAGGGCAUGCCUGUUCGAGCGUCAUUAUCACCCCUCAAGCCCUCGGCUUGGUGUUGGACGGUUUGGUGGAGACCCCCUUCGCGGGCUUCUACCCCUCCCAAAGACAAUGACGGCGGCCUCGUUGGACCCCCGGUACACUGAGUUCUUCACGGGACACGUAUCGGACACAUGGGUUUACGGGACACGGUCUGCCUCCCCUCAGGGAGAAUCUUUUUUUAUCAAGGUUGACCUCGGAUCAGGUAGGGAUACCCGCUGAACUUAA
rnacentral:misc_RNA from 1 species